AGAUACUUUCAACAGCAGAGUCGACGCUACCCAGAUUCACUUUGACAAGAGACCACCUGAUAAAAAGAAAUCCAUCACAGGACGUGUGAAGGAGGCAGCAACCACGUGGAACUCGUGUCUCGAACACAGUGCAGUCUUCACACCUCAGCGCUGGGCAUCGGGAGGCAGCCUUCAUGUGAUGCUACCCUAUGAGGCCAGCAAGGGCUCCCGGGAAAUGAAAACGGCAGCAGCCGGCACCCAGUCCCAGCAGCAGACAGGAGCAGGUUAAUCCACACCAUGGACACUGUCUAUGCAAAGCGGAUAUUUGGUCCCAGAUGGCUCAACCCUUGGCUAUUACACAUCCUUAAAGCUGACACUGGCAUAGCACAUGGGUAUGUAACACUUAAAGUAUUGCUGCAACCCUUCAGGAAGGAUGUCCUGGAAAGCUGCACACCCCCAGGCGUCAGCCUUCUGACAUCGCAUGAGGAGGGGCUAAAUGACAUUUGGAGACCAUGUGUGCUGAUGUGGUUUGGAUGUGUGUCCCUCCAAAACGUAUGUGAAAUGUGAUCCCCAGUGUUAGAGGGGAGGCCUGGUGGGAGGUACUAGAUCACAGAAGUGAAUCAGUCAUGUCAUGAACAGUUCAGCACCAACCCCUUGAUAUGAGUUAGUUCUCACUCAGUCAGUUCACCUGAGCUCUGGGUGUUUAAACGUCUGGGAACCCCCUCCUCUCCUGCUCCCACUCUUGCCAUGUGAUGCUUUGGCCCCCUUCACCCACCACCACAAUUGGAAGCUUCCUGAGGCCUCACCAGAAGCAGACGCCAGCACCAUACUUCCUGUACAGCCUGCAGAACUGGUUUCAUCUGGAGCCUCUCUGGUGGGUAGUGCCUCCUUGGCUCACUCUUGCCUGUGAGUUUCUCAGACUUUGCUUGAUCCUGGUGACCCUGGCAGUUCUGAAGAGCACUUGUCAGGCAUCCAUUUGACGGCACAGAAGACGGAUGUGACAGGACCCUGGCUCACAAAGAGCUGCUCAGGCCCAGGCUCUGCAGCAGGGCUGUGCCCAAAGCCCCAGCUCCUCCCCGUUGUCCACAUGGCUGGGCCCUGCAUGGGAGGAAAGAGGGGGCAUGAAGACAAACAGCGAGGAAAUUGGGGUUUCGGAGGGCAGGCCUGCCCAGAAUGCAUUCCUAUAAAUUCUGAAGGAAGAGGGUGGGAGAGACCCACCAUUCUGCUUUACAUAUGCAAGGAAUACGUGAGGAGCCUGAAUUCCUAGGAAAGGUGAGACAUCGGGGCAGAUACCGGCCCAUUCGCCAUGCUCCUUUCUCGCUGUGGGUGAAGAGAAGACGGUGAUGGACACUCUGGCUUCCGCUGCAGGAGCUCCACAGCCAGGGAACCCCUCUGCUCCCUUCGCCGUGUGAAAUCGCAUCUAGCUCCUCCACCGCAGAGGCACCGGGGCAGCACUGGAAACACAGCCCGAGGGUAACUCAAAAACCCAGGGCCGCUUUCAUAUACGCCUGAGGUUUACAACCACCCUGUAAAAUGCAGGGGGUGGCUCCUUCCACUGAAGUUACUUAUUCCUACAGAUGAGUCAAAACGGCACUGAAACAACAUAUCUUCCCUUCUUUCGUUCCCCUGAAAAAAAUCCCAAACCAUGGUCCUUUUCCCACUUACUCUGCUUAUCCUCCCAAGCCAGGAGCUGAAAUGGCCCUUUUUUCAAGCCUGAUUUGCUUAAUCUUCAAUUUUAGCCCAUGGAGUCAUUCAUGGGAGCUGAUGCAACCACAUCAACACCCCCUGAGCCGGGGUUUUUCAACCACAGCACCCCAACAUUCUUUGUGUCUCCCCAGUUCUAGGAGCAGUCAGUGCAGAUAGGAGCAGCACAGCAAUGACACCACACCCACAAAACCGGGCAAACAUAAUGAAUAAGAGAACUAAAAGUGAACGCGGCAGCAGCUUUACAUCUCAGUGCCAAUUUGAGAUUGGUAUUGCCAUCGAGAGUCAGCAGCCUCGCCCGGACGCUCCGCCGUGCCCACUGUGCUAUGAAACCGCCUGAGUCAUCGCUUUCCUCCCUGCCAUUUUACGUAAUAGUUAUUUCAAAUAUCCUCCAGCAUCCUCACACCACCACAGGGUUCCCUGCCUCGGGAAACAGAAAAAACACAGAAGCCACAUGCAAAUUUCUUUUACAUUUUAUAUUAAAGCCUAAAAAGUUACUUAGAUUUUUUUUUUUUGGUCUUCCCUCCUUCCUUUAGGUUGAUCCCACCCUGUGCCUCCCGAGCUCCCUUCCUUUCGCCUCAGACCUUUGGUUCAUUCAGUUGUGAUCUGUCUUUCUCCUCUCAACCUCUUCAUUUCUAACAACUUCUCGUCAGCACUGUGAUGGUUAACACUGAGUGUCAACUGGAUUGGAUUGAAGGAUGCAAAGUACUGUUCCCGGGUGUGUCUUUGAGCGUGUCGCCAAAGGAGAUUCACAUUUGAGCAGUGGGCUGAGAGAGGCAGACCCACCCUCAAUCUGGGUGGGCACCAUCUGAUCAGCUGCCAGCAUGGUCAGAAUUAAAGCAGGCAGAAGAACGUGAACAAACUAGACUGGCUGAGCCUCUGACCCUGCGUCUUUCUCCCGCGCUGGAUGCUUCCUGCCCUCAAACAUCGGACUCCAAGUUCUUCAGCUUUGGGGCCCAAACUGGCUCCCUUGCUCCUCAGCUUGCAGAUGGCCUACUGUGGGGCCUCACCUUGUGAUUGUAUGUGUCAGUUCUCUUAAUAAUCACCCCUUUAUGUAUACAUCUACCCUAUUAGUUCUGUCCCUCUAGAGAACCCUGACUAAUACAGACACUAAGCGUGUUCAAGCGCAUCCAUCCAUAAGAACACCUCCCCUGAUCUUACCUCUCUUCUUAGUUACCACUCAACACACCACUCUCCUCCAUACCAUAGGAAGUUUGCGUAGGUUUUCAGCAUCCACUGAUUCUCUCCUCCCCCUCCUUCCUUUCGUCUUAACCACACUAUUUCACUGAGACUACUCCUGACAGGUUCAGCACUUACUUUCCAACCCCCAAAUCCAGUCGGUCCUGUGCAGGACCCAUUGCUAUAAUCACUCCCAGGUUUCCAGUUAAUCAAUGUUUGUUGAGUGUUUAUUAUGUGCCAGCCACUGUUCUGUGUUCUGAGGGUGCAGUGAGCAACACAGACAAAAACGUUGAUCUCAUUGAGGGAUGCUGGAUUAAAAACCGGAGAACAGGGGCAGAUUUGUUAACGACAAGCAUCA
rnacentral:lncRNA from 1 species